AUUGAACGCUGGCGGCAGGCCUAACACAUGCAAGUCGAACGGAAAGAGGAAGAAGCUUGCUUCUUGGCUUACGAGUGGCGGACGGGUGAGACAUGUCUGGGACACUGCUUGAUGGAUGGGGAUAACUACUGAAAACGGUAGCUAAUACCGCAUAACUACGCAACACCAAAGAGGGGGACCUUCGGGCGUCUUGGCAUCGGAUGAUCCCAGGUGGCAUUAGCUAGUAGGUGGGGUAACGGCUCACCUAGGCGACGAUCCGUAGCUGGUCUGAGAGGAUGACCGGCCACACUGGAACUGAGACACGGUCCAGACUCCUACGGGAGGCAGCAGUAGGGAAUCUUGCGCAAUGGGCGCAAGCCUGAUGCAGCCAUGCCGCGUGUAUGAAGAAGGCCUUCGGGUUGUAAAGUUCUUUUAGUGGGGAGGAAGGGAUUUAAGUUAAUCCCUGUACUUCUUGACGUUACCCGCAGAGGAAGCCCCGGCUAACUCCGUG
rnacentral:rRNA from 1 species